rnacentral:lncRNA from 1 species
UUGUACCCGAGCCUACAGUACCAGGGGUUGCAGUUCCUGCCGCAGAAAACCAAACUUCCUCAACUUCUAUUGUACUUCCCUUCAUUGCCCCUCCCUCUUCUCCUGCAUCUUUCCUGCCAUCUGAACCACCAUCGUCUACUCAAUCACCUGGUGGAUUCAUGUCAUUCGCUGCCCUUUCUGCCAAUGCAUACUCUCCGGGUGGAACUCAGUCCAUGUUUACCAUUGGCCCUUAUGCAUAUGAGACCCAAUUAGUCUCACCACCGGUAUUCUCUACAUUCAACACUGAACCAUCUACUGCUCCAUAUACUCCCCCUCCUGAAUCCGUGCAACUGACUACACCUUCAUCCCCUGAAGUGCCAUUUGCUCAGNNNNNNNNNNNNNNNNNNNNUAAAUGGAGAUGAUGAACGGGACAUAAUUCAGUCCGUCAGAUUUGUUUUUCGAUUUUGAGAGCCUUAACGAUCACCAAAUUGGCUGAAAUUUUGCAGAGAUGAUCUACACAAGAUGAUCUAGAUAUGUCUAGAAGGAAGUUUGAGGAAAUUCGAUCGGAAAGUGGUGUAAAAAUAGAAAUCCGCAUCAAAACUCAGGUGCGGACGUCCGCACCUGAGAAUUCUUGUAUAUAUAUAUAACCUAGUUAACCUAGGUUUAUACACAUUCCUAAUCAAACUAAGACAACAAUGCCCACGUGAUAACACACUGGGCCUCCUAUUUGGGUUUUUGCUAAUUAUCAAUUGAAGCCCAUAUUUAAUAAAUGUGUAUACUGUGACUUCUAGACAGAAGUGGACACUUGGUUUGAAUAAUGGUGAGGGAGGGCCUGGGGGGGUAUAUGUUACAGAUUUUGUUCUGUGAGUACAGUAAAAUCUUUGUUUAAGAAUGAUUCUUUCCUCUUAUUUAGUGAUUGUGUUCUACUAUUCUCUUUGUAGUUGUCGUUAAAUAGUUAACUGUUUGAGAUCAAUAAUUGGUUAUAUUGAUUGUUUGUACCAAUGUGUAUAGUCUAGCUUUUUAAAGGAGGCAAUAAUUCAAGACCCUUGCGAAACUAGUGCAUUUAGGGUUUGAAAUCAUUUGAUUAUAUUGAAUUUUUGUACCAAUGCGCGUUAAUGUGUAACGGCGGUAAUUGAAGAAGUUCUUCUGCUGAAAUAACAAACGGAUGCAUGCAAUCAUGUUAUGCUUGAGCCUUACUAGGUAGAAUUGAUCUCAAUAAUGCAUACAAUUGCUUUGAGUUAUUGACAAUUUUUGUUAUUUGACUACAGAAAAGAAGAUGGGGAAGCUGCUGGAGCCUAUAUUGGUGUUUUGGAUAUCAGAAAAGUAAGCGAAUUGGUCUUGCGGUCCUUGUACCCGAGCCUACAGUACCAGGGGUUGCAGUUCCUGCCGCAGAAAACCAAACUUCCUCAACUUCUAUUGUACUUCCCUUCAUUGCCCCUCCCUCUUCUCCUGCAUCUUUCCUGCCAUCUGGACCACCAUCGUCUACUCAAUCACCUGGUGGAUUCAUGUCAUUUGCUGCCCUUUCUGCCAAUGCAUACUCUCCAGGUGGAGCUCUGUCCAUGUUUACCAUUGGCCCUUAUGCAUAUGAGACCCAAUUAGUCUCACCACCGGUAUUCUCUACAUUCAACACUGAACCAUCUACUGCUCCAUAUACUCCCCCUCCUGAAUCCGUGCAACUGACUACACCUUCAUCCCCUGAAGUGCCAUUUGCUCAGCUUCUGACAUCUUCGCUGGACCGAAGUCGUAGACACAGUGGUGGCAGUCAGAAGUUUGCAUUGUCCUAUGGCGAAUUCCAGCCUUACCAACAAUAUCCAGGAAGCCCGGGUGGCCAACUCAGAUCACCAGGAUCAGCAAUAUCAAAUUCCGGCACAUCUUCUCCUUUUCCCGACAGAUAUCCAGUGCUUGAAUUUCGCAUGGGGGAAGCUCCCAAAC